GCCUUAGCCUGGCUAUCACUAUAAAAUGGCCCCUCUGAGGGGCCUCCUUCCUCUCAGCUAUUGGAGGAAGGAGAGUAUUUGGAGCAUUUCCGGCCCUUCUUGGACGGCUGCCUGAACCCUGCAGCCAAGACACAUUUGACUGGGACUCCCCCAUGGAGAGAAGUCCUCCCAGGUCCUCUGCAAGGGGCAUCUGUUCCUUGGCUAUGGACAUGCCCUAAAGUGCCAGGUGGACGGAAGAGCUCCUGGGACCAGCAGGUUGGGAGCAUCAAUUCACGUUGGCUAGAAAUGUGACUUCUUUAGUAUUUACCAUUUUAACAAAAUCCAUGAUAAGGGAUUUGGAAGGUCCCAUGGAGAGGAUGAAAUGACACCUCUCUGCUACCCAGUUUCUUACAGACCUCUACGGUUGAGAAGAGAGGACAAAGGAACACCCCCACCUCUGCCAUCCUCCGAGGGAUUUUUCACAGCAAUUCCAGUGCUGCUCAGUGGAAAGCUCUGCAAGUCAACUGCAAACCCCCAGCCCCAGAUGUUAGGCAUUUACAAACUUUGUUGCUGAUUUAUCAGCGCUCCUCUGCAAUUUUGGGGGCAGGAGCAAACACAAGCUUAAGUCACCACGCAGGCUCCAACCCUUACCCAAAGAUGGGGGAAAAACUCCAAAGGAGAUGCAGGAGGGAGCCUCGGCAGUCACUGUGAGAGCACAAAGAGGCCAAGACCCAGGGUAGGCAAAGGAAGGUGAGAGGCACCAGCAGGGCAGGAGGAGGAGCCAGCUAUAAACAUGCAGGCUUCCCGCCCCCUGCAUAGCAAGCUAUGGAAGGAAGCUCCAGCAAGAUUCAUGUCUAAGCUUUUCAAGUUAAAGGCUUGGCUACAUCUACAGUGAACGGUGUCUGAACAACUUCUUGAGGGAAUAAGGCAGAAUUUCUCCCUUAUGCGGAUAACAAAAGAGCUAGCCAUCCUGAAAACUUGCCACAUCGUAAUUUUCAGGGAUGGUCAGUCUCUCAGAAGAAUCCCUGCGAUUAGCUAUCAGAACCUGUCCAGUUCAGCAUGUGAGAAGGUAAUCCAAGGCAUCAUCGAGAGGAAGGGGCAUCAGGAUUCAUGGACAACAAAAAAAUCUCUGAUUCCUCCAAAAGGCGUGUGGGUCACUGAGCUCCGGAAGAGGCUGCCUCCACCAGGUCUCAUUUCACGUUGGGAGGUUACAGCGUGGGUCUUGUUUCCUUGGCUUUUCCCCAUCUAAUCCCAAAGCCAAGGUCACAACCUCUUAGCAAUGGGGUGACAAUCUCAUAUAGAGCUGCAAUAAACAGCCAUUCCUGCCAAGCUGA